UUAAACUGUAGUCCAGAUUUUUGAAGAACACCCGUUGAGAGCAAAGACAAAGCGACAGCAACAAUAAUAGCAGCAACUAACGUUAUGGCAAAUGCUUGCUAUGAACUAUUGUCGCAACCACCUAUUGGUUUUGCUUGAGACAAAGCAUGGAACACCAAAAACGUUUUGCUUUCAAGCUUGUAGCUACUGACAACUUUCACUUUUCUAAACAACGCUUUUACCGCUUUUAAGGCGUUGUGGGAUCAGACUGCCUUCAUAUUGUACCUAGUGAGCAGUCGCUUGUCUUAACUGAUAUUGAGGAGCAUACGCCCAAUACGUUCCCCCUCAGUUCACAUACACCGGGGGAUUCUUCACUACGAGGCCCAUCCGAAUAAACGAGAUAAAACUAUUACUCUACGUGGAUUGGGUAUCUAGUGCGGACAGUUCAGAUUCUUUGACUGCCCUGUUCUUUAUUGUUACGAAGCUCUGACCUCCACUAGAUAGAAGGCGAGAUUAGCUUUUCUCUUCUUCUCCCGACGCUAAGUUGCAUUGAAGCUACUGGGAACACUAUUUCUACUUUCAAAAGCCAGCAAGCCAGAGACCUAAAUAAGUAGAUAUCUACUGU